rnacentral:lncRNA from 1 species
GGACGAAGUUUAGGGACAGCAGAUGUGCACUUUGAACAGAAAGCAGAUGCCCUGAAGGCUAUGAAACAGUACAAUGGUGUCCCUUGGGAUGGCCACCCUAUGAACAUUCAGCUUGUCACAUCACAGAUUGAUGCACAGUGAAGACCUGCACAGAGCAUAAACAGAGGAGGCAGGACAAGAAACCGUGGCUCUGGAAGUUUUGAUGGUGGUGGCACCAGGAGAGGGACACGUGGAGGCAGCCGGGGAAGAAGUAGAGGCACCGGCAGGAACUCAAAGCAGCAGCUUUCUGCAGAGGAGUUGGACGCACAGCUGGAUGCUUACAAUGCAAGGAUGGACACCAGCUAA